rnacentral:RNase_P_RNA from 1 species
UAGGCGGGUUUGUCGCUGGCCGUCAGGUCAGAGGAAAGUCCGGGCAACGUAGGGCACCAUGCUUCCUAACGGGAAGUUGUUCGUGAGGGCAAACGUUCAUAGAAGAAAAUAACCGCCCGUUCGCGGGUAAGGGUGAGAAGGUGGGGUAAGAGCCCACCAGUUCUGAUGGUGACAUCGGAAGCUGUAUGAGUCAUGGGUUGUAAGAUCAUGUAUACCGAAUGUGGGGCGGCCCGUCCCUUUCGUCGGGGGGUAGAUUGCUUGAGGCUUAUGGUGACAUAAGUCCUAGAUUAAUGACAAACAUCCGUUUCGGCGGAGACAGAACUCGGCUUAUACGCCUACUAU